UACGGAGGGCGCAAGCGUUGUUCGGUAUCACUGGGCGUAAAGCGCGUGUAGGCGGCUUGGCAAGUCGGGUGUGAAAGCCCGGAGCUCAACUCCGGAACUGCAUUCGAAACUGCCUCGCUCGAGUCCCGGAGAGGGUGGUGGAAUUCCCGGUGUAGAGGUGAAAUUCGUAGAUAUCGGGAGGAACACCAGUGGCGAAGGCGGCCACCUGGACGGUGGCUGACGCUGAGACGCGAAAGCGUGGGGAGCAAACAGG
rnacentral:rRNA from 1 species